GGCUGAGCAAGCCAAGAGGAGCAAGUCAGUAAACAGCUCUCCUCCAUGCCUCUGUAUCAGCUCCUCCCUUCAUGUUCCGAUGGAUUUGUAAGUUAGAGACUGCUCCUUCCCAGGCUGUCUGAAGCUUAGCGACAACAGCUUAUCUAUCUCCACAGCAGGGCCUGGACAUGCAGGCAAGCAUCUCCUCCACCUGGCCCACACCGCCCAGGAAGCAGCCUUCUUAAUCAGCCUCCCACACCCCUACCUUCCCUUACUCUUAACCAGGCACUUACAGAGUCUAACACAUCUCAGAGCCCCCCAAAGUCAAUCUAACCACCAAACCUACACCUUUCCCUUUCUGGAUGACUCCAAAGAAGGCCACAGUCCAAGUUCUCCCAAGUUCCUGGCCUUUGGCCUCUGGAGCCAUUGGCCCUGGUGCUUUUCCACAGGGCCCCGAGGAGCCUCCUGUUUCUGAUUCCCGUUUUACCUCGAACGAAGACGUAAGCACUGUAUUGUUCAUAAUACUCUCCCAUUCGCACGCGGAUUGUGUAGAGGCCUUCAUCUUCCUUGUUGAGGUGAGAGAAGGAAGGAGUUUUAAAUCCACUUUGAAUAAAGCAAGGGCAAACCUACUCUUCACCACAACCGAGGCAUAUGCUGAGAGCUCUCCUUGAACGUUCAUCGCUGAGGCCCGGUACUGAGCCGUGUCUUCAAAGUCACACCUGCAGAGACACAUGGAAAUGAGUGACCAUGGUGGUGACUCCUGGUAACUGUUGGUUGACUUAUCAAGAAAUUCUUUGCUAACAUAGCAGAUUGCAAGUCAGUGGCCCACAGGUGGCUCUUUAGGACUCUUGAUGAAGGGAAGGGACGAUCUCUGUUCCUGUGGGACAUAAUAUAGUCCAAGUUAUCUACUAAAGGUCACAAGGCAGAAGGGCAGGAAGAUAACAUCUACUGUUAUCUUCCCUUGGUGAUUGUUAGGGUGAAUGAACCCUAACCUUGGUUCAUUUAAAAUGCCAAACAAAAAGCUAACCAAGUACGACGGCUAUAAAUUACACAGCAGAUGCCUGCUUUGUACUACUGAAGAAAAUGUCCAGCCAUUCAUGUAGCUUUGUAGCAGAUAAUGGCCCUGAGUGUGUAUGCCCCAUGCUGUCCUGUCCCAAGAGGUGGGCCUCAGUCUGGUGGCAGGCAUCAGGAUGACAGGGAACAGAAAGAAGCAACUUCUCAUGAUAAUUUUCCACAGCCUCUCUGAGGCACAAACCUGUGCAAGGCUGGUCUUAUAUACCUUUCCGUGUUCUAGUUUCAAAACACAAGUGGCUUCAUACUUUGAUUCUACUGGUGUUUGGGUUCCACUUGGAGCUCCGGCUCACAGUAGAACACAACAAGUACUAUCUGGGUGUUCCUUAAGUUACAGAAAGAGGUAUGUCUUAUAGAGAUGGAACAAGGGAAGGAUACUCUCACAGAGUCAGGCUGUUUUGUCUCUAAUCACGCCAGUUCCCACGUUCUUCCUUGUUUCCCAGGGUUUAGUUUAGUUUCAUUUGUGAUACACUUGUGUCUUGCAGAAAUGAAAGGCAUUAGACUCCAGGAAGAUAAAUAUAAUCUCCUUUCUCAGAGCUAUUUAAUUUUAAAAGCAACCGCAAGGCUCACUGCUGCUCCAGCAGAAGUGAUAUGACUUCAGAUGAGGGUUUGGAGAAUGUCAGCGAUGCCGGGUUCUGUCUGAAGCCCAGGAUCUCUUGAGACUACUCUUCCAUUGGGGAGAAAGCUGUGAGGAUGAUCAACAUAAGCUCCUUUACAGCUCUGCAUGUGGCCCUUGUUUACUCUUUCAUCCACAUAACCAAGUUUGCAUUUCAAACCAACUUGGAAAACAUUUUACACUUUUUAUGACUUGGCAACUUUAAUAGAGCUUCCAUUUCAAAUUUGCUUAACCCUGAAACAUCCCAAUGUCUGUCCUUGAUUCACCCACAACAUCCCAUGGUUUCUGGUGAGCUGGCAGGAAGGACAUUCUCUUACUCUGUCCAGCACUCAGUGACACCCAUCCCAGCCUCUAUGCCUUUUGCUGGUUAAAAAUAAAAGAACUCAGUACUGUGGGUUUGGGAUUCUGUGAUGAUACCAACUCAGAAAUGCCUACUUAAGCAACAUAGCAGAAUGAAAGCUUUGUGUUAGGGUUCUUGUUGUUGGCCAAUUACUAUCUUCUUAGUAAUUUCUAUGGGAUAUGCUCAUAUAUUGGGGUUAAAUAAAAACAUACAUACUCAUUUUA